rnacentral:rRNA from 1 species
CCUACGGGAGACAGCAGUAGGGAAUAUUGCUCAAUGGGGGAAACCCUGAAGCAGCAACGCCGCGUGGAGGAUGAAGGUUUUCGGAUUGUAAACUCCUUUUGUUAGAGAAGAUAAUGACGGUAUCUAACGAAUAAGCACCGGCUAACUCCGUGCCAGCAGCCGCGGUAAUACGGCGGGUGCAAGCGUUACUCGGAAUCACUGGGCGUAAAGAGCGCGUAGGCGGGAUAGCAAGUCAGAUGUGAAAUCCUAUGGCUUAACCAUAGAACUGCAUUUGAAACUGUUAUUCUAGAGUAUGGGAGAGGUAGGUGGAAGUUCUAGUGUAGGAGUGAAAUCCGUAGAUAUUAGAAGGAACACCAAUAGCGUAGGCAGGUUACUGGGACGGUUCUGACACUAAGGCACGAAAGCGUAGGGAGCAAACGGGAUUAGAUACCCGGGUAGUC